rnacentral:hammerhead_ribozyme from 1 species
ACUAGCUGACCAGUUCAAAAUGGGACGAAAUGCGCAUCCUGGAU